UGGGUUGGUUUAGUCCAGAAUCACCCCUCAUAUGACUCCUACCAAUGCACUCAGUACCUUUAGUUGGGUCUCAGGUUCCUUCAUACCAGCAAUUCAGGUUCCCGAUGGACUAAUUAACCAGAUGCUAUAAAUCCUCAAUUAAUCCAGUGUGUUUCAGAAACCAGGAGUAAAACGACAUGCACUCCUAUGACUCUUUGAUGACACCGAGUUUCAGAACAAUAAAACAAGUUUAUUCAAAAUUCCAGAAACAGGCAUUAAAAAUCACAGAUCAAUCAAUCAAUCAUAAAUCAAUAUCCCCAAUCGAUGAUAAGCAAAAAUAUAACUUGGAUUAAAUUGAGAGAUGCCUUCAGCGCCCAUAACUAAACCCUUAUCUAAACCCUUAUUAGUGUGUGUCAAUAAAAUAUGUUUGGUCUAUAACAAUUUUAUGAGAAGCACAGUGUUCAAUAACAAGAAAAACAAGUUCUUACCUUCUACAAAUUAUAAACAGAUUUUUGUCUCCCCCUUCAGGUUUCUCAGUCCCUCAGUUGGUGUCUAAAAAACUAACAGCUACUAGAACACUCCUAUCAGUGAGGUAACCUUUAGGGUUCCUCCUAGAAUGUACUAGAACAUUCCUAUCAAUGAGGUAACCUUUAGGGUUCCUCCUAGAAUGUACUAGAACACUUCUAUCAAUGAGGUAACCUUUAGGGUUCCUCCUAGAAUGUACUAGAACACUCCUAUCAGUGAGGUAACCUUUAGGGUUCCUCCUAGAAUGUACUAGAACACUCCUAUCAGUGAGGUAACCUUUAGGGCUCCUCCUAGAAUGUACUAGAACACUCCUAUCAAUGAGGUAACCUUCAGGGUUCCUCCUAGAAUGUACUAGAACACUCCUAUCAAUGAGGUAACCUUCAGGGUUCCUCCUAGAAUGUACUAGAACACUCCUAUCAGUGAGGUAACCUUCAGGGUUCCUCCUAAAAUGUACUAGAACACUUCUAUCAAUGAGGUAACCUUCAGGGUUCCUCCUAAAAUGUACUAGAACACUCCUAUCAAUGAGGUAACCUUUAGGGUUCCUCCUAGAAUGUACUAGAACACUCCUAUCAAUGAGGUAACAUUCAGGGUUCCUCCUAGAAUGUACUAGAACACUUUCAGAAUAAAAAACCAAGUAUAUUAAAAAUCUAAAUGAAUCUGAAGUUAAAAAGCUUCAGUAAAAGUCUUUCUCCAGCAGACGACAGGUUCUUCUAGCAAACUCAAAGAGAGUCAUUCCCUUCCCAUGAAACCUGCUUCCUUUAUACCCUUAAUGCCUCUUCUGAUAAAUCAUCAGGAUGACCACCUGCUCCACUGAUGCCUUCGGUGGUUAACACCUAAUGAAUGCAUCCAUCUUCUCAAAAGGUGCUUUUUCAGCCCCCACUAACCUCCACGUUUUCCCACCUAGGCAGAACGUACGCUUCAACCUACUUGCUGCUCUGACCUGGGGAUUUCCAGAUCAAGCUAGCACCCUUAAUAUACUUCAUGAACAUCAACUUCUUAAAACAUACAUUUUUCAAACAUGAAACUUUCCUAUUCCCUUCACCCUCCUACCUUUAACUAAAUUAUAGUCUUUCUACAACCUAAUUUAUUACUCAAGUUAUAUCUCAAUACAUCAAUAUUUUAAACAUUUCAACAUUAUAACAUUUUACCAUUAUAACGUCUCAUUAUCAACCUCCUAAGGCCUUGUCCUCUAAGCCUAAUCAAACACAGUCUAUAUGAUUCACACCUUAAGGAAAACAACAUUAUAUCUCCCAAUGUUUAAUAACCUGUCUACAGGAAAGAACCUCAGUCUACCUUUGUACAUUACCAAACAGGAAAGAACCUCAGUCUACCUCUGUACAUUACCAAACAGGAAAGAACCUCAGUCUACCUCUGUACAUUACCAAACAGGAAAGAACCUCAGUCUACCUCUGUACAUUACCAAA
rnacentral:lncRNA from 1 species